AGCCAAAGUUUUCUUCACUAUAAAAUGAAAUGAGAGUAGCUGUGUGGGCCACCUCAAAGGGAUUAUUAGAAAGAUAAGGGUAAUGAAGGUGAGAGUUUCAUAAACUAUAAAGUACCAUAUCAUUGUAAGGGGUUAUUAUUUCCAGGUGUUCCCACUUGAUUGUAAGUAUUGUAAAUGAUAUUAUCUGCCAGUUUUUUCUUUUUAUCUCAGGACAUUGAAAGAAUGGGAGUUUUGAAGGAAAAGAAAGAAAGGAUGAUUUGGGAGAAGUUACAUGAUUUACUUGUCAAGGAAACCUCCUUAGGCCUCCCCUGAAGAUGGGUGAUGCCAGAUUUUAAAGUAAAAAUGUUCCAUGCAGUGGAGAAGAGCAAAAAAAUUUCAUGAAAGCAGAGGAAAACGAUUGGACGACCAUCACUGUUUGCGAUAUAGAACACAACCAGG
rnacentral:lncRNA from 1 species